AUGCAAAUCAGACCCUAUAAAAGUACCUUGCGGUCAGUGUGUCUUGUCUUUCUUCAGAAAUCUCUAAGCUUCCAGUCUGCGAGCCAUUCAUCUGGUCUCACAAAAGAUACUUGCUGCAUUACUCCCAAUAUACAGCAACCAUGUCAUCAGAUGCUGAUAUGGCCAUAUUUGGGGAGGCAGCUCCAUAUCUCCGAAAGUCAGAAAAGGAGAGGAUCGAGGCUCAAAACAAGCCUUUUGAUGCCAAGUCAUCUGUCUUUGUGGUACACGCUAAAGAAUCCUAUGUGAAAAGCACAAUCCAGAGCAAAGAAUCUGGGAAGGUCACUGUCAAGACUGAAGGUG